AGCCACAUCAUGUUAAAACACCAAUUUCUCUACGAUCACUGAAGUUAAGCAACAUUGAGCCUGAUCAGUACCUAGAUGGGUGACUGCUUAGGAAUGCCAUGUGUUGUAAG